rnacentral:misc_RNA from 1 species
GAAAUGCGAUAAGUAAUGUGAAUUGCAGAGUUUUGUGAAUCAUCGAAUCUUUGAACGCACAUUGCGCCCCUCGGUAUUCCGACGGGCAUGCCUGUCCGAGCAUCGUUCGCAACACAUCGAGUCACAUCUCGGUCUUGGGCCCCGUCCCGCCCGUGGGACGGGCCCCGAAGUCCCCGGCGGCCCCGGGCGUCCGUCGGAGCGUUUUCGAACGUGGCCGCUCCGCGCGGUGCGACCCGGGUUCCGGCCCACCGGGCGAGAGCCCCCCAACACACACAAGAGGUUUGACCUCGGAUCAGGCAGGGUUACCCGCUGAACUUAAGC